rnacentral:lncRNA from 1 species
GUGCCCACGAAGCUUGAGAAGCAGUCCCCUGAAAUACUCGAGAAAAAGAAAAUUGGAUGCAGAGGAGAGUGAUGAAACACAACGGCAAGAUAGUGAUGACGAUCCAGGGACUCCAUGAAAGCCAGGCGCACUGCUUUCAGAUUGGGAAGCCAAGAGUAACUUUGGUGGGCGUGAUGAGCUCUGGCCAUGCUUUCCACGCAGCAGAAAUGGAAGUGCCUCUCUACACGGAAAAUCGUGUCUCACCUGUUCCUGCAAACAGCCCUGGUGCCAUGGUCAUGUCAAGGAGUAAGACGGCCGGCGUCUAACUUGGCAGGGGGCUUUCAAAAGCCAUUAGGCCUACAGAAAUUCCACUUGGCCCUCAAAAUGUACAAUGAUCCUAUUUAAUCUAUUUGUGCGUUUUCCACCAUCACUAAGCAUCUCUCCAUAGCAAACGCACCUGGAGUUGGCCCUAAGCACAGAUCGUCCCGAACAUCAAGUAACUGUGGAGUGUAGACUCAGCACGAAUGGGAUUUAAAUGAUCUGCUACCAGAU